rnacentral:lncRNA from 1 species
UUUUGAAUUCUUGAUUUUGAUGGGUACUAUUCACAGAAAACGAAGCGGAAGCAGAAGAAUCUCUACUAUCUUGGGCAAGUUUGGGCAAGAUCCUCUGCCAUUACCAAUUCUGAUUCUUGUAACGCUGGCCAUGAUGAUCUUUCUAGUCACCGCCCCUCGGAUUUUCUCUGUUGAGUUGAGCAUUGUAAAACCCACAGAAGUCAAAACCCAUUUGGUGCUUCUG